GGAUCAUGUUUGUUAAAUCUUUUAACCAGAUUUAUUUCUUCUUGCCUAGAGACCAUUAUGAUAAUGCAGCAGGGCCACCAGUCAGUUUCAGAUAAUGAUGUCAACCCCGGCCACCAAGAAGUAACCUUGUCUCCACUAGACAGAGCAGGUUGCAGGAAUUUAGCCAAUUCAGAGGUCUUGUUCUCCAUAAUUUGGAAUUUUCCUUCGGAUUUGAUCAAGUUGGAUAGAGUUGGUCAAACCCAAUGGGAAAAAGAUGAAAACAACAAGAAACAGAAACAAACAGCAACAACAACAACAACAAAAACAAGAGAAGGUGGUUCAGCCACUAAAUGGUGCUGGGACCUCGCAGUUUGGUGGGAAGGAGGAAGCUUACUCAAGCAAGGAAUAUGAGACAGGCAAAAACCCACGCAUAAGCCAA
rnacentral:lncRNA from 1 species